rnacentral:lncRNA from 1 species
GGUAAACCAAGUGGGACAGUCCGAAUGUCUCUCUCUCUCUCCCCAUCUAUCAAAGCUAUGUGUGUAUGAGAGCACCAUGCGUCCAUUAGAUACGGCUCCAAUCAAGCUUCAACAAAUUCGUCUCCCUAUGAAUCCACCUAAAUUUCUUUGUGCCACACACCAACACUACCCCCUUCUUCUAAAGCUAUGCUCCUAUCUUACUGAAUUAAUGCUGCUUUCUGCAAUCGCUACCAUUGUACCUAUCCUUGUUUUUUA